ensembl:lncRNA
ACCAGUGAAAACUGAGAGUAGCAAAACGGUAACCGCAGGAAGUAGAGCUCCUCAGUGGAGGACAAAUGACGCAUGAGUACCUUCGCAAACGCAUGCAAAAAACCACGUUCAUGUUUGUUUUCGCUUUCUUUUUAAUGUUUUUUUUUUUUUUUUUUUAAGUGGUUUCGAAGGGAAGGGUCGACAAGGAGCCAACUUCCUCACACACGAGAGAGGGGAGCGGAAAGAAAGAAAAAAGGGCAGAAAAAUGUCUGUUUUUCAUUCUGUGUAUCCAUUUCCAAAUGAACUCUUUUGACCAUUAAACUUCCCAUUCAUUCUCGUGAUAUCUAGAAAAUGGCUACAUCACUACAACAAAAGUAUGCUUAGUUGAUCCGAGGAUGAACUUUGCGUGACUCUCUCGUUCCUUCAGACCCAUCGACCUCGCUCAAGCGGACGCGUCGUUGAAAGCUUCGUUCGUUUCUAUUUAUCUCGGGGCUUAAGAAUAUUAACAAUAACAGGAAUCUCUAAAGACGCCGGUAAUUGGAUCUUGCAUAAUUGCGUGCAUUAAGAAGAAACAAUUAGGAAGCCGAGCGAAUCAAAAACUAAAGUGUAUGUCAAUAGAAAGGAUAUUUAUCAAAGGAAUGAAAAGGAUUCAGCACAUAAGCCGGUGUUAAGUAGCACAUAUUAAAACACCCCUGACACGGCCGUACGGUUAGAUUAUUUGGUCAAGUAGUACAUUAGUCGUUAUUUUCUGCAUCACUACGAUAGUUUACGGCUCAAAGACACUGUCAUUAGAAAAUGGGCACAAGGUAUCUUUGGGAAAAGCAGACAUUCAUGCGGCUUUGCGUGGAUAUACAGCUGAAAGCGUUUGGAAUAAGAUGCGCAGCUUUAAAAGAAGAGGCUCUCUUGAUAGUAAGUGGGAACUAGGGAUUGAAUGCAACCUUAGAACAAACAGAGGGAACAGAAACAACUAAAUAAAAAUCCAGAUUGAGUGUUACAUACAUUUUAUAUAUAUAUUAUAUAUAUAUACACACACACAUAUACAUAUACACACACAAACACCACUGAGACAAUAUUUAAGAACUGGGAUUCUGAAGCCCAGCCUUCCUACUCGGCACAAACAGGUGGAGGUAUAAUUGAAAUACCAUACCAUUUAUACUUAUUACCAAUGGGUGGCCUGCUGACACUUCCCUGAGAAGGUUAUCCAAUUAAGAAAGACAAAAGCAUGAGCGGUUACAGCUCGACUCACACCCAGAACUGCACUAAGCUCUGCAUGUCAAGAUCUCGCCUUUAGCCUACUUCCUAGCGCGAAAUCAUCACCUAGGACUCACAAAAUGAAUAUGAAAGUGUGCGAGAGGCUUCAAGCGAGCAAGUUGUGCUCCUGCGGCAUGUGGCGCAGCGUGUCAGGAGAAGAAGAAUGGCGUAAUCAGUUUUAGCACCCCCCGUGGGCACCUACUGGUCUGCCUCUAAUAUUGCCGACAGUUCCUACAUGGGCCCAGAAGCGCCAGAGGUGCCAUAACCGUGCCCAGCACGACCGUAAGUAGGUCCCUGUGCCACUCGGCCAACUCCGCGCAGUUGUAAAUUCCGAGUUCCCGCAUGGGCCGCAAUCGUGAGAAGCCCAAAUGAGGCCGGGCGGAGCCGGGAUGGAUCGGGAAAAACAGGCCUGCUAGCGCUGGAGCAGCCAUUAAUCACUGCACUAUGAGGAAGCUGAGACAGAGAAAGAGGAGAGAGCGAAAGAGAGAGAGAGAGAGAGAGAGAGAGAGAGAGAGAGAGAGA